AGCUCAUGGGAGUAUGAAGGAGAUGGUAGGAGGCUGCUGCGUAUGUUCGGACGAGAGGGGCUGGGCCGAGAACCCGCUGGUCUACUGCGAUGGGCACGCGUGCAGCGUGGCCGUCCACCAAGCUUGCUAUGGCAUCGUUCAGGUGCCAACGGGACCCUGGUUCUGCCGGAAAUGUGAAUCUCAGGAGCGAGCAGCCAGGGUGAGGUGUGAGCUGUGCCCACACAAAGACGGGGCAUUGAAGAGGACUGAUAAUGGAGGCUGGGCACACGUGGUGUGUGCCCUCUACAUCCCCGAGGUGCAAUUUGCCAACGUGCUCACCAUGGAGCCCAUCGUGCUGCAGUACGUGCCUCAUGAUCGCUUCAACAAGACCUGUUACAUCUGCGAGGAGCAGGGCCGGGAGAGCAAGGCGGCCUCGGGAGCCUGCAUGACCUGUAACCGCCAUGGAUGUCGACAAGCUUUCCACGUCACCUGUGCCCAAAUGGCAGGCUUGCUGUGUGAGGAAGAAGUGCUGGAGGUGGACAACGUCAAGUACUGCGGCUACUGCAAAUACCACUUCAGCAAGAUGAAGACAUCCCGGCACAGCAGCGGGGGAGGCGGAGGAGGCACUGGAGGAGGAGGCGGCAGCAUGGGGGGAGGUGGCAGUGGUUUCAUCUCUGGGAGGAGAAGCCGGUCAGCCUCACCAUCCACGCAGCAGGAGAAGCACCCCACCCACCACGAGAGGGGCCAGAAGAAGAGUCGAAAGGACAAAGAACGCCUUAAGCAGAAGCACAAGAAGCGGCCUGAGUCGCCCCCCAGCAUCCUCACCCCGCCCGUGGUCCCCACUGCUGACAAGGUCUCCUCGGCUUCCUCUUCCUCCCACCACGAGGCCAGCACGCAGGAGACCUCUGAGAGCAGCAGGGACUCAAAGGGGAAAAAGUCUUCCAGCCAUAGCCUGAGUCAUAAAGGGAAGAAACUGAGCAGUGGGAAAGGUGUGAGCAGUUUUACCUCCGCCUCCUCCUCUUCCUCCUCCUCUUCCUCCUCCUCUGGGGGGCCCUUCCAGCCUGCAGGUGAGUGUGGGCAUCCGGGAGGAAGCUGGGAGCAGGGACAGCCUUUUGUCCUGAGCUUUUCUGGCAAGGGACUUUGCAUAUUGGUUUUGCAUCUCAUUUACUUCUCCAUUGGUUCAGGAUAAAGAUGGGGAAUCCCCUCCUCUCCAAACCUGCCCCCAAACCCUUCCUUCUUGAACCAGAACUCUCCUCUCCCCUUCAGGGGCCACCCCACCAACCUCAUAACAGUAUUCCUUAUCCCCUACAUUUGUGCUGCAAGGUACAAUUUUUCAAGAACCCCCAUUAACAUUUUCUCCUAUAAUCGCUACAGUCAUCUGGUGAGGCCAGUAGGGUGCGAGUUACUCUCCCCCAUUUUAUUACAGGUGGGAAAGCUGGAGGGGUCGGGGGUACUCAUCCCAGGACACAGACAGUGGCAGAGCUGAGACAGGAAACCAGGCAUCCCCAUUCGUGGACCAGAGCUCUCUCCCGCCAGUACACGCGGGAGUGGGAGGGAGUACGGGGAUCUGGGGU
rnacentral:sRNA from 1 species